GACGAGCCGAGCGAACGUUGUUCGGAAUAACUGGGCUUAAAGGGCGCGUAGGCGGGCCGCCAAGUUCGAGGUGAAAUCCUCCGGCUCAACCGGAGAACUGCCUCGAAUACUGGAGGCCUCGAGGCGGGUAGGGGGCAUGCGGAACUGUGGGUGGAGCGGUGAAAUGCGUUGAUAUCCACAGGAACUCCGGUGGCGAAGGCGGCAUGCUGGACCCGAUCUGACGGCUGAGGC
rnacentral:rRNA from 1 species